UUUCCGUAGGUGAACCUGCGGAAGGAUCAUUAUUGUAUAACCGAGGUGCGAGGGCUGUCGCUGACCCGAAAGGUCGUGCACGCCCGAGUGCCCUCACACACAUCCAUCUCACCCCUAUGUGCACCACCGCGUGGGUCCCCCUUUGGCUUGUUCGGAGGGGGGCUUACGUUUUCACACAAACUUUGUAUGCAGUGUAGAAUGUAUUUUUUGUUCUUGCGAUCACGCAAUCAAUACAACUUUCAACAACGGAUCUCUUGGCUCUCGCAUCGAUGAAGAACCAGC
rnacentral:misc_RNA from 1 species